UGUGAUGAUGAAAAUUCAUCCAUGAGUGAUUAUCAUUUCAUCAGGCACUCAUGGAUGAAUUUUGUUGGGAACCUAGAGGCUCAUAAUGCAGUUCAGAAUGCUUUGUUUGGCCUCUGAAGCAUAACUGUUUUAGGUACAUGUACCAUGUUAAUGAUGGCUGUGUUGAAGGUUCCCCAAGGUUAUCCUCUUUUCUAAUAUGGCUGGUGAUCUUGAUUCUGAUUCACAGACAUUUAUUCAAUGUCAAUACCUUAUGACUCUCAUAAUUUAACACCACUGUCUUGAAGUAAAAGGAGAAGAGAAAAAAAAUGUCUUUGAUCAUACCAUGAUGACCUGAGUGUUUUAUCAGUCCCUUCUGUUGACUACAGCAAGAAAGCAGGUGUGGGAGAAAAAGUUGCCAUUCUGGAUCAGUGUAAGAAGCUAAGCUAAAAGCAUGAUAAUUAAGCUGCUACAUGAAAUACCUAUAUAUUUUGGUCAGCUGGCAGUUCAUAUAUUUUCUCUCAGUUUUUUGUCCUGGCAGUUAUGGAAAAAAAAUCAAGAUGGCUACAGAGUUCAAUGAUUGAUUUGAACUGAAAUAUGCCUAAGG